UACAGAGGGUGCAAGCGUUAAUCGGAAUUACUGGGCGUAAAGCGUGCGUAGACGGUUAUUUAAGUCAGGUGUGAAAGCCCCGGGCUCAACCUGGGAAUUGCAUUUGAGACUGAAUAGCUAGGGUGCGGAAGAGGGAAGCGGAAUUUCCGGUGAUAGAGGUGAAAUUCGUAGAUAUCGGGAGGGACACCAGUGGCGAAGGCGGCGAUGCUGGGAAGAUACUGACGCUGAGGUGCGAAAGCGUGGGGAGCAAACAGG
rnacentral:rRNA from 1 species